GACAUUUUAACUCUAUUAACAGGUACGGCCUUCUAAGCCGUGGGUCGCAGGUUCGAAUCCUGCAGGGCGCACCA
rnacentral:tRNA from 1 species